rnacentral:rRNA from 1 species
AGAGUUUGAUCCUGGCUCAGAACAAACGCUGGCGGCGUGUCUUAAGCAUGCAAGUUGAGCGGCAAGGGGGAGCGAUCCCUCCUAGAGCAGCGGACUGGUGAGUAACGCGUGGGUAAUCUGCCUUGGGCAUGGGGAUAGCCAUUAGAAAUAGUGGGUAAUACCGAAUACGUUCCACGGGGGGAGUGCUUGUGGAAGAAAGGGUGCUAGGGCACUGGCCUGAGAUGAGCUCGCGUCCCAUUAGCUAGUUGGUGAGGUAAAGGCCCACCAAGGCGAUGAUGGGUAGCCGGCCUGAGAGGGUGUACGGCCACACUGGGACUGAGAUACGGCCCAGACUCCUACGGGAGGCAGCAGCUAAGAAUAUUCCGCAAUGGACGGAAGUCUGACGGAGCGACGCCGCGUGGAUGACGAAGGCCGAAAGGUUGUAAAGUUCUUUUGCUGGGGAAGAAUAACUGCAGGAGGGAAUGCCUGUGGGAUGACAAGAACCGGCGAAUAAGCCCCGGCCAACUACGUGCCAGCAGCCGCGGUAACACGUAGGGGGCGAGCGUUGUUCGGAAUUACUGGGCGUAAAGGGCAUGUAGGCGGCUUGGAAAGCCUGGCGUGAAAGUCUGCAGCUUAACUGCAGGGGUGCGCUGGGAACUGCUGAGCUUGAGUGACGGAGAGGGAGCUGGAAUUCCUGGUGUAGGGGUGAAAUCUGUAGAUAUCAGGAAGAACACCGAUGGCGAAGGCAAGCUCCUGGCCGAUGACUGACGCUGAGGUGCCAAAGUGUGGGGAUCAAACAGGAUUAGAUACCCUGGUAGUCCACAC